CCUACGGGUGGCAGCAGUGGGGAAUAUUGGACAAUGGGCGAAAGCCUGAUCCAGCCAUGCCGCGUGUGUGAAGAAGGCCUUCGGGUUGUAAAGCACUUUCAGUGGGGAAGAAAGCCUUGGGGCUAAUACCCUCGAGGAAGGACAUCACCCACAGAAGAAGCACCGGCUAACUCCGUGCCAGCAGCCGCGGUAAUACGGAGGGUGCGAGCGUUAAUCGGAGUUACUGGGCGUAAAGCGCGCGUAGGCGGUCUGAUAAGCCGGUUGUGAAAGCCCCGGGCUCAACCCGGGAACGGCAUCCGGAACUGUCAGGCUAGAGUGCAGGAGAGGAAGGUAGAAUUCCCGGUGUAGCGGUGAAAUGCGUAGAGAUCGGGAGGAAUACCAGUGGCGAAGGCGGCCUUCUGGACUGACACUGACGCUGAGGUGCGAAAGCGUGGGUAGCAAACAGGAUUAGAUACCCGGGUAGUC
rnacentral:rRNA from 1 species